GGUAGAUCCGGUAAAGGGGUGGAGGGAAUACGGAGGGGGCAAAGGUUAAGGGGAAUGACGGUGCGUAAAGAGCAGUGAGGCGGUUAUGUAAGACAGAAGUGAAAGCCGAGGGCUUAACUUGGGAAAUGCAUUUGAAGCUGUCUAGCGAGAGGCUGGGAGAGGGAGAUAGAAGUGCGGGGGUAGGGGUGAAAUGCGUAGAGAUCAGAAGGAAUACCGAUGGCGAAGGCGGUCUACUGGAACAUUAUUGACGCUGAGACACGAAAGCGUGGGGAGCAAACAGGAUUAGAUACCCCAGUAGUC
rnacentral:rRNA from 1 species